rnacentral:tmRNA from 1 species
GGGGGCGAAACGGUUUCGACGGGGUCAAUGAACUUGAAGGAGCGAGCCGAGGUCCCGGAGCCGCGUCAAAAAACCGGACAAGCAGAAAUGCCAAUAACGAAUUUGCACUUGCUGCUUAAUUAAUAAGUAGCCGUCCGAAUAGCUUUUUGGUCUGGUGGGCUAUGAAGGGCGUCAGAAAAUCGGACCUUACCCGUGGAUCUGCUCCGAAUUCUCGGGGACAUAUAGGAGCUUGGA